GGCUACAAUCGCUUCUCAGAUUGCUUCUCGUGUAAUAGAAGCAUACUAAUUCAGGUUAUAAAAUGUCUCAUUGAUCUUGAAGCACUUAAACCGAUCAACAGGGGACUUGUCACCGGUGAGGAGAUCUGUACAAUAUUUUCUGGAUAAUUUAAUGAGCCUGAGGCACUGGAUCAGGCGCAAACUUUUUCUGCAAUUGGUGAGGUAAUGUGCACUGAUGAAUAAUAAUGAUAGAGAAUAGCAAAUUUUGAACCGACUACAUGAAUGCAAAAGUAAAACAACCACUGGAAUGAUUCAAGACAAAUAAGCAAUAAAUGCAC